rnacentral:lncRNA from 1 species
AAUGACUAAUUUUCUGGAAAUUUCUUACAGAAUGAGGGAUGAAGAUGGAUAUCCCAUUUUGUAUCCAGACAAGGACCAAGAGGCUGAGCAGAACCAACAGAAAGCAACACUCUGAUACAGCAAUCCAUCACAGAGGAGCUGUGCCUCCCCGCCUCCUCGCCUCCCUGAGAUUAAUUACAGGCAAGGGCCACGUGUCUGGCUUGGCCUGUGAUUGAUCCUGCAGGAGGAAAUGCAAGGGAUGCCAACGGGAAGCUAAUGCUGCCUUUUAUCCGGUAAGCAAAGUUCAGGGAUGUUUGCAUUUUUCGAGGUAAGCAUGCCUCUCAAGACCCAGGAUGGAUAGACUGUCCUCUCAGCAGGAAUUCUUGCCAAGGCAACACAGAGGUGGGCCUCAGUGGGCCCCACUGGGGCCACAGAGGCCAGACAUUCAGAAGUGCUAAUUUUGCAAAUAGCCUGAUUCCAUCAUGUUUUAAUUAGCAUGAAGUAUUGCAAGCUGAUUCUGUUCAAGAGGUUGGCAAGUGAGAACUGGAUUAAGAUCAGUGCAAUAGACUUGGGAUAUAUAUAUAUAGGAAUUUUCUAAUCACUGAAAUGUGCUAGGUGCUGGAAUUUCCUAAUUUUUGUAGAAAAG